GAAAGAGUGCUUUGUUGAGAGGUCAUUUCAUCAACCAACCACAAAACAAAAUUGUAUUCUACACAUAGAAACGAACUUGAUGCUUCUUUGGGUGAAGAAAACCAGUACCCAACAUGAGAGAGAGAUCAUAUUCCAUUUAGAUGAAUAAUGUUAGCGAUCUUAUUCCUAGUGUUUUCGUUUCCCUUAAAAACCAUCUUUGCUAAACAUCAAACACCAAAAACUCUCUGUUCUUCUAUCUCACCACUGUGCUCUACAACUUGACAAAGGCCUUGUUGGAAAGGUGCUUGUGCCCAUUGCCCCCACUAAGUGUAUAGGACCCCCACAGAUAUAAGGACACUGGCUGCUGACUAGUGUAACCCACUCAAGGUCAUCAUAUGGUGCAAACAAGAUAUCCCAUCAUAGAUAGAUGUAAAGAGAAAGAUCGAAGUUUCAAGUUCACAAG
rnacentral:lncRNA from 1 species